rnacentral:tRNA from 1 species
GGACUCGUUGCACAGUCUGGAUAGUGCGAGCGGCUUCGAACCGCUAGGUCGAGGGAUCGAAGCCCUCCGAGUCCU